rnacentral:lncRNA from 1 species
GGCGGACGGCGAUGGCGCGUGCGUUUCACGCUCGUGCAGAGGCGAAACUUCGGGAGGCUCUAGCGGUUUCGUCCGGGCUCCGAUUGCGGCGUGGUUGGUGUCUACGGCUUCGUCUCGACGAGAGGAACACGAUGGUGGUCUUGCAUGCACGAAAUUCGCAGUGGUUAGGAAGUUAUGGGCGAUUUACUAAAACGGCCGAAACUGAACUAAAUGCAUGGCGGUUUUGCGGUGGUUACCUAGGGUUGCGAACGGUGGUGUCGAGCUGAACGUGAUCACGGCACACGGUUGCUCCGGCGACGAGCUCCGGCGACCCACUCACUGUAAAAGAUCACACCUCUUCUCUUAGCUCACUCUCUCUCUAACUCUUCUUCUUCUUUU